UACGUAGGGUGCAGGCGUUAAUCGGAAUUACUGGGCGUAAAGCGUGCGCAGGCGGUUUGCUAAGACAGGUGUGAAAUCCCCGGGCUUAACCUGGGAACUGCGCUUGUUACUGGCAAGCUUGAGUGUGGCAGAGGGGGGUGGAAUUCCCAGUGUAGCGGUGAAAUGCGCAGAUAUUGGGAGGAACACCAAUGGCGAAGGCAGCACCCUGGGCCGGUACUGACGCUGAGGAGCGAAAGCGUGGGGAGCAAACAGG
rnacentral:rRNA from 1 species